ensembl:lncRNA
AUCAGGGCGGGGCCGACGAUCCCACAGGUGGGAGGAUAACAAAAAAAGGUCAGAUUGUGACAGAUUCCCCUUGCGAAGCUCUUUUCUGUGUGUAUUUAUUCACAUGAUGCAAUCAGUUUCCGUGGUCACAGGACAGACCCACCGAAAUCCACGAACAACGCUCAGAGGCGACACGAGGAGGGUUUGCAGCGACAGAGCUCUCGUUCGUUCGUGUCGGCGCCGGCCCGCCGACAACAGCGCCGGCUGAUCGUCAUCGUUCCUGUCACUCAUCAAAAAGACCAACGCCUGCAAAUUCAGUCUGACUGAGAACAGAGACGAAGAUGCUACAACCAUUUCAACAGCUUAAUAAAAUAAAAGUGGCAAUGACAACGACACCUCCCAAGAGGAAAGAAGCUUUUCAACUAUAUUAAAUAUUCACUCUCUGUGAGAAUAGCAAACAAAACACAGACGUGUGUAGCAGUCUGAAAAAUAAUAGACGUUGAGGUAUCUAACUCGACUGCUCAAAAUGAAAUGUUCAUAUUACCUGUAUUUUUUUUUUUUACAUUCAUGUCCAUCUAGGAUGUGUAACACAGUUCCAAUCAGAUCAAAGUGGGUUUUACCCACGUGCCAGAAUUCCCAUGACACAAUAUAGCUCUCAAUAAAUCAUGUGGGGGAGAAAGGCAUAACGAUAAUUACACUUUGUAAUGGUGCAAAACAGUUGCUCAACGGUGAUUAUGAGAGUGCGUGUGCAUGCGUCAUAAUAUCCGGGAUGCACCACGUCCUCUCCAGGCUCUUGGGGAAAGUGUCCAGCGCUCACCACAGGUGCUGAUCGCCAACCAAGGUAAUGAAAAAUGACAUCAAACAUGGGACACACUUAACCGUGAAUGAGUUGUCAUCACGCCGGCUACAAAAAGAAACCAAAAAACACCCAACGGAGGGGCCACAGCGACGUCACGGCGCCCCCCCCCCCCCCUUCCGGCGCCACGUGGGCGAGAGGAGCCGUGGAGGACGACGGGCCUCUCGCGGCGUUGGCUCGCCUGUCAGCGGCGCCGUCCUGACCAAACGUGUGCAGCAAGCGGAAAAAAGCUGUGCGCAAUCAGCGAGACAGCUGCCGGCUUGAUGAGGGUGUAGCUCGAAAAAGGCUUUUUGCUUUUUUUUUUUUUUUCCCUCCGUGUUUUGCAGCACCAACACGAGAGCACGCUGCACGCGGGGGGCCCGUCCGAUGCGGCAGGGUUGGUAGGAUGCAGAGGGGGUUCUGUAUGCAUGCGGGCGAAAGGGAGGGGAUGGAUGGAUGGGAGACGGUGAUGCAGAGGGAAGCAGGGCGGAGGCGUCUGAUGCUGAUCUUCGUGGCCUCGGGGAGAUCGGGUUUACCUCAUUUCCCUUUCAUGGCUACAUUGUCGGAGUCAGCAGUUUCGGUGCAGCGUAUAAUACAGCUGCAGGUUUUUUUUCUUUCUCUGAGCGUGAAAGGGAAAGCUUGACGGGGGCAGUCGGGGGGGGGUGUUAAGAAAAUAGUUGCUAAGCACUAUUGAGCGAAACGAGCUAAACUAAGAUGGCGACCACGGUGAACAUCACCAAGCUUCAGCAUGUUAGCAUUGUCGUUGUUAAUAGUUAGCAUACUGACGUUAGCAUUCAGCCCUGUGCGGUCUCAUACGGCUUGCUUCUACUUGCAGGAUAAACAUAUUUCACACUACGUGGCACCUGAAACAUGCACCUCAGAAACACAUUAGUGGUGCUUUGGCACCGUGACGGCUUGGUCGAAGCACUUCGUGGGAGAAACUCUGCAGGGCAUCUCAACAGUGUGCAGACAUUGGUUCCAAUCUAUAUACUGCUCAGACUUUGCAUGAAAACAUACGGAGGGAUUAAGUGUCUGACAUUUGACAGCCGGGGAAUUAAGUAAAGAGGCGGAGAUUCUUCCCUCAUCUUCCCUGUCUGUUUUGUGAAAUUGCAUUUGUAUCCCUCCUAUGGAUUAUAAAUGUAUUUAUUCAUUUCAUUUAAAAUGGCUGUUUGCUGUGUAUAUAAUUUUUUUGUUUUAUUUAUUUAUGUAGGAAUUAUGUCGUGGCUGACAAAAUGUGUUAAUGUUGGUUUUAGGCAAUUAGAGGGGAAUAAAUGACAUAGACUGCAGGCAGCCUGAUUCAGUGAUUGCUUGACUUUGUAGGACUGAAGUCUGAGUGCUCUGAAUAGAUCAGCACUUUGUGUGCAAAACGAAGACAAACUUUCUAUUUACCCUGUGUGUGUGUGUGUGUGUCUGCUGGGUUGGUGUAUGACCAAGCAAACAUGAAUGCCUGUAAUCAAGUCAUCCACUUUGUGAGAUAUUAUCUUUGACCUUGGAGCCGGAGGUAGCUAGAUGAAUUCUUAAACGCCGGAUUGAGCUUGAAGAAGAAGCCCACAAACAGUAGAUACGAGAGAAGCACAGCAGCAGAGACAAAAAGGACACACGGCGUCUUUAAGGUGCCCAGAGAAAGGACGAGAAAAAAAAACGAUGAGCUGCAACAAGGUGAAUACGAGAUCAGAAAGUGAACCGCAGCACCCGGGUCUCGGCCCCCACCGCCGUUAUUAUUCCUCUGAACUCCCCACGUGACCUUUAGGUUGAUUACAGUGGCGGUUUGGCAUCAAAAGUGAACCAGCUGUGCGUGUUCAUAGUGUGUGAGAGCGUCAGGACUGUAAUCUCCGGUCCCCUGAUUCAGUACGGACGAACAAAAUCAAUCCGACCUGUGUGGAGGAAAUCGAUACCCAUUAAGAGGCACCAACAAAAAAAAAAAAAACGUGCAGGACGCAGGAAAGAAAAACAGGCCUGCUGUGAGUUCUUGUGGGGCAGUGGUGCAGUAUCAGAAGCUGGGAGUUUGUGCUGUUUCAUCCAAACAUUUGCCCUCGUUAUAUAACGUUUCACAUUGUGAUUUGUGGACUGUAUUUUCUUUUUUUUUUGUAGAAAGACUGUUUUGUUACAUUGGUUUCAAUUUUCAACAAUAUAAAUUGCACUGGCAUGGGGACAGACAUCUCCGAAACCAGCUUUUAACUCAAGACAUCAACACAAAAAAUGUUUCAAAAAUACUUGCACAAGACAUUUAGCUGGAAGAUCUAUCAAUAAGUCAGAAAAGAACAAUUUAAUGACGAUAUAAUAACAUUUAUUCAACACAUUUAUUUCUAGAUCCAUGCAUCCAUGCAAAGUAUGUGACAAUUUCCUUAGGGGACAAAAUCACGCGAUUUUGUCCAUCCUCGGCCUUCAGAAGAACGACAGCACGUCCGGGAUGUUGUCAC